rnacentral:rRNA from 1 species
CCCUCGUACGAUUCCCUUGAGUUGAUAUGGCUCAGAUUGAACGCUGGCGGCAUGCCUUACACAUGCAAGUCGAGCGGCAGCGCGGGGGCAACCCUGGCGGCGAGCGGCGGACGGGUGAGUAGUGCAUCGGAACGUGUCCUCUUGUGGGGGAUAACCAGUCGAAAGACUGGCUAAUACCGCAUGAGCUCGUAAGAGGAAAGCAGGGGACCCGCAAGGGCCUUGCGCGAGAGGAGCGGCCGAUGCCCGAUUAGCUAGUUGGUGGGGUAAUGGCCCACCAAGGCGACGAUCGGUAGCUGGUCUGAGAGGACGACCAGCCACACUGGGACUGAGACACGGCCCAGACUCCUACGGGAGGCAGCAGUGGGGAAUUUUGGACAAUGGGGGAAACCCUGAUCCAGCCAUGCCGCGUGUGUGAAGAAGGCCUUCGGGUUGUAAAGCACUUUCGGACGGAACGAAAUCGCGCGGGUGAACAAUCCGCGCGGAUGACGGUACCGUAAGAAGAAGCACCGGCUAACUACGUGCCAGCAGCCGCGGUAAUACGUAGGGUGCGAGCGUUAAUCGGAAUUACUGGGCGUAAAGUGUGCGCAGGCGGCCGCGCAAGUCGAGUGUGAAAGCCCCGAGCUUAACUUGGGAAUUGCGCUCGAAACUACGUGGCUGGAGUGUGGCAGAGGAAGGUGGAAUUCCACGUGUAGCGGUGAAAUGCGUAGAGAUGUGGAGGACACCGAUGGCGAAGGCAGCCUUCUGGGGCACACUGACGCUCAUGCACGAAGCGUGGGAGCAACANGAUAGAUACCUGGUAGUCACGCCUAA